rnacentral:rRNA from 2 species
UAGUGGCGAACGGGUGAGUAACACGUGGGCAAUCUGCCCUUCACUCUGGGACAAGCCCUGGAAACGGGGUCUAAUACCGGAUAACACUUCCACUCUCAUGGGUGGGGGUUAAAAGCUCCGGCGGUGAAGGAUGAGCCCGCGGCCUAUCAGCUUGUUGGUGAGGUAACGGCUCACCAAGGCGACGACGGGUAGCCGGCCUGAGAGGGCGACCGGCCACACUGGGACUGAGACACGGCCCAGACUCCUACGGGAGGCAGCAGUGGGGAAUAUUGCACAAUGGGCGAAAGCCUGAUGCAGCGACGCCGCGUGAGGGAUGACGGCCUUCGGGUUGUAAACCUCUUUCAGCAGGGAAGAAGCGAAAGUGACGGUACCUGCAGAAGAAGCGCCGGCUAACUACGUGCCAGCAGCCGCGGUAAUACGUAGGGCGCAAGCGUUGUCCGGAAUUAUUGGGCGUAAAGAGCUCGUAGGCGGUCUGUCACGUCGGAUGUGAAAGCCCGGGGCUUAACCCCGGGUCUGCAUUCGAUACGGGCAGACUAGAGUGUGGUAGGGGAGAUCGGAAUUCCU